rnacentral:rRNA from 1 species
GACGAACGCUGGCGGCGUGCUUAACACAUGCAAGUCGAACGGAAAGGCCCUGCUUUUGUGGGGUGCUCGAGUGGCGAACGGGUGAGUAACACGUGAGUAACCUGCCCUUGACUUUGGGAUAACUUCAGGAAACUGGGGCUAAUACCGGAUAGGAGCUCCUGCUGCAUGGUGGGGGUUGGAAAGUUUCGGCGGUUGGGGAUGGACUCGCGGCUUAUCAGCUUGUUGGUGGGGUAGUGGCUUACCAAGGCUUUGACGGGUAGCCGGCCUGCGAGGGUGACCGGCCACAUUGGGACUGAGAUACGGCCCAGACUCCUACGGGAGGCAGCAGUGGGGAAUAUUGCACAAUGGGCGGAAGCCUGAUGCAACAACGCCGCGUGCGGGAUGACGGCCUUCGGGUUGUAAACCGCUUUCGCCUGUGACGAAGCGUGAGUGACGGUAAUGUGUAAAGAAGCACCGGCUAACUACGUG